AUUUCUAUCCAACAUAAAUAAAGCAGUGAAUACGAUUUCAUAAUAUUUUCCUUUCACGUUUUACACUACUUUCGUGUCACAAUAAAGUUUAAAUCGUUUACUCGUCAUCAAACAACCAAACCUGCCGGCGUCACUUUGACGUCAUAACAAGGCAAUGUUCCCAUUGGCUACAAUUUCACCUAAAACAGCUUGUGAUUGGUCAGGGAGUGUGGGCCGCCUGUAUAUAAAGCCUGGUAGACGGACGUCAACACAGAACACUGGCACGCGACGACGCUACAACAUCUUCUGUACUAACACGCUCCUCAAACGACCAUAAACCCUAUACGAGUUGACCGAGGUAGCUGCAGUGUCACCACAAGAACAAUUCGGAGCGUCUACAAAAUUUACCUGUUGCUGGAGAACUCGAUCGCAACAAUUCCUUUCCUACUCCAGUUCUACCGCGGUUAGUGGAUCCUUCCCACAGCAUUACAGUGAGUUUUCUAGUGUUAAACUACAAGAAAUUGGUCUCCAAAAAAACUGCUUUGUUAUUUCUUCUACCCCAUUUGUGGGUCAUGAGCUGUAUUGCAUUACAUUCUGUGCAAGUAAAGUCAAACUUGUACAUAUUGAAUAUCCAGUAUAUGUAACCAAUAAAGUUUUUCUAUUUAUGGAAUAAUCCAAA
rnacentral:lncRNA from 1 species